rnacentral:rRNA from 1 species
GAUGAACGCUAGCGGCAGGCUUAAUACAUGCAAGACGAACGGUAACUGGUGUAGCAAUACAUUAGCAAGAGUGUCGUACGGGUGCGUAACACGUAUGCAACCUACCUUGUACAGGAGGAUAGCUCGGGGAAACUCGAAUUAACCCUCCAUGAGAUCACAGUGUGGCAUCACAUAGUGAUUAAAACUCAGGUGGUACAAGA